AUUGAACGCUGGCGGCAGGCCUAACACAUGCAAGUCGAACGAGUGGCGGACGGGUGAGUAAUGUCUGGGAAACUGCCCGAUGGAGGGGGAUAACUACGGGAAACGGUAGCUAAUACCGCGUACCAUAGGAUGAGCCCAGAUGGGAUUAGGUAGUUGGUGGGGUAACGGCUCACCAAGCCGACGAUCCCUAGCUGGUCUGAGAGGAUGACCAGCCACACUGGAACUGAGACACGGUCCAGACUCCUACGGGAGGCAGCAGUGGGGAAUAUUGCGCAAUGGGGGCAAGCCUGAUGCAGCCAUGCCGCGUGUAUGAAGAAGGCCUUCGGGUUGUAAAGUACUUUCGGCGGGGAGGCGUUACCUGCAGAAGAAGCACCGGCUAACUCCGUGCCAGCAGCCGCGGUAAUAC
rnacentral:rRNA from 1 species